AUUGGGAGGAGCUCUCUGCUGCCCCAGGAAUGGGCUGAUUUCCUGAGUACACAUUAAUCUGAGCUCCCUCAGCCCUAGGGGUAGGGGGAUUGGGGGCACAAGAUGGGUGGAGCCAGAUAGGGAAGAUUCCCCCAGUGUUGUCCUGCUCCCAGUCCAGGUUUGGGACAAUGCCGGCAGCGUUUCCCUGUGUCUUUCCCCCACAAAGUCUCCAAGUCUUUCCUCAAAUGAUCGUCAAGGUUUGGGAGAAACAAUCUCUUCCUCUGCCCGGGUUGCGUGGAUCUCCAGUGGAAAGAUACUGCAUGACAUUGAAACAGCCGGUGUAUUAACUAAUGUAUAUGACAGUCCACCUCUGUAUGAUGAUGUGAAAGUGCAAUUUUUCUCUUCAGCUUUAUCUACCAAGAAAUGAAUUGGAUAAUCCACAUAAACAAAAAGCUUGGAAAAUUUAUCCACCAGAAUUUGCCGUGGAGAUACUUUUUGGUAAGAAAUGACUUCCAGUGAUGUUGUAGCUGGAUCCGAUUAAGUACAGCUCCCCCUUCCCCUUCUGGGAAAGAAUUAUGUUCUUUCCAACCUUGCCACAUAUUCAUAUAUCCUAAAUCUUCCUUGAUGAUAUAUUUAUAUAUGUUUAUAUAUGUUCUUCAUAAGUCUACUAAAUAUAUAUAGAUAAAAUGUCA
rnacentral:lncRNA from 1 species